UAGGGAAUAUUGGGCAAUGGAAGCAAUUCUGACCCAGCCAUGCCGCGUGAAGGAAUACAGCCCUAUGGGUUUUAAACUUCUUUUAUUAUAGAGUAAACGGAGGUACGUGUACCUCCCUGCAAGUAUAUGAUGAAUAAGGAUUGGCUAACUCCGUGCCAGCAGCCGCGGUAAUACGGAGGAUCCAAGCGUUAUCCGGAUUUAUUGGGUUUAAAGGGUGCGCAGGCGGAUCAAUAAGUCAGGGGUGAAAAAUUUCAGCUUAACUGGAAUAGUGCCUUUGAUACUGUUGGACUAGAGUAUAAUGGAGGUGAAUGGAAUGUGAUGUGUAGCGGUGAAAUGCUUAGAUAUGUCACAGAACGCCAAUCGUGAAGACAGGUCACGAAAUUAUUACUGACGCUCAUGCACGAAAGCGUGGGGAUCAAACA
rnacentral:rRNA from 1 species